UAUUAAUUAUCUCUAGAUAAUUUCGCAGAUUAGUUUUAACGCAUAUUCAUGUGAGAUUACCCCCUUUUCUGAAUUUCCCAGGUCAAAAUUCUUCGUCUUCGUUCUCCAUCUCCAAUUCUUCGCCGUCGCUCUCCAUCUCCGAUUCUCCACGCUCUGCAUCUCUGAUUCUCUUCGCUCUGCAUCUCUGAUUCUCGUCGCUCUCCUUCUCCAAUUCUCGUCGCUCUGCAUCUCUGAUUUCGACGAAAUUGAUCGUCGAGAUUCAUAUCGAAACGUAUAAUCGUAUUUCAACUUGAUUUUGUGGUUUUCUUCAGCUCUCAAUCUCUCUUUUUGUCUAAUCGCUCAGAAAGGUUAGUAUGAUAGAAAUUUCUUAGAAAUGUGUUGUGUUUCGGAUGAAAUUGCUUGAUUUUAACAAGGAUUAUGAAUUUAGUUGAAUUGGAUUCUUACAAAUGUUUCUCGGUAGGUUUUGGAGACGAAUCUGAAAUUGAGUUUAUGGAAGAGAUGCAUUUCCUGAGUUUUGAUCAAUGAUAACACAAAUGUGUGGAAUUCAAAUGUGUUGUGAUGCUUUCCAUGAAAGGUGAGUAGAGGACUUCUGUCUUCCGGAAUUAUGGCUUACUACAUUGUUUUCAUAUGUUGGUCUGGGAUUAGAAGGUAUGAAGAAACAAAAUUUGAUUUUGUUUUAGUUGGUUUUAUAAAACAUUACUCUGUUUUACUUGAAUUGCAAUCGUCAUACUCAAAACGACCCUUCCGGUUGGAUUACCAUACUUUUGACUCAACCAACUUUCUUGUCUUUUUUAUUUGUUCAGACUUUCCUUUUAGCUAUCAGCUUCAUUGUGAUGGCAACAUUCUCAGCGUGAAUGGAUUAAAAAUGUAACACAGAGGAGCAUUGAUAUUGGGUGGACAAGCUCAAGGGUGAAGAUAGUAAUUGACUAGUUUACCACAUCAAUCUACUGUAAAUAACCUAAGACUUUCAGAGACGACAGUUUGAAACUUUGAAGAACAGAUAAUGGGCAUAUUGUGAAUUGUUUUCAAGGAUUUUCAUAUUUUUUAGGACAAAGUUCAUGUAAAAAAAAUAAAUAUUUAUAAAAGAAAUUCUCUAUAUGGGCCAUUUGUCUUUCUUAAUUUU